rnacentral:rRNA from 1 species
GACGAACGCUGGCGGCGUGCCUAAUACAUGCAAGUAGGACGCAGUUGCGAACGGGUGAGUAACGCGUAGGUAACUGCAUCUUAGAGGGGGAUAACUAUUGGAAACGAUAGCUAAUACCGCAUACUAGUAGAUGGACCUGCGUUGUAUUAGCUAGUAGGUAGGGUAAUGGCCUACCUAGGCAACGCGACAUAGCCGACCUGGGACGGUGAUCGGCCACACAUGGACUGAGACACGGCCCAGACUCCUACGGGAGGCAGCAGUAGGGAAUCGUCUGCAAUGGGGGGAACCCUGACCCAGCAACGCCGCGUGAGUGAAGAAGGUUUGCGGAUCGUAAAGCUCUGUUGUUAAGGAAGCGGUACUUAACCAGAAAGGGACGGCUAACUCCGUGCCAGCCCCCGCGGUAAUUC